rnacentral:sRNA from 1 species
ACCGCGUUAGCGAUUGAAGUGGCAUCCUUUUUUGACCUUAGGAAAAAAAGAUAUAACGUAAAGCGCGACCCCGA